GUGCCAGCAGCCGCGGUAAUACGUAGGUGGCAAGCGUUAUCCGGAAUUAUUGGGCGUAAAGCGCGCGUAGGCGGUUUUUUAAGUCUGAUGUGAAAGCCCACGGCUCAACCGUGGAGGGUCAUUGGAAACUGGAAAACUUGAGUGCAGAAGAGGAAAGUGGAAUUCCAUGUGUAGCGGUGAAAUGCGCAGAGAUAUGGAGGAACACCAGCGGCGAAGGCGACUUUCUGGUCUGUAACUGACGCUGAUGUGCGAAAGCGUGGGGAUCAAACAGGAUUAGAUAC
rnacentral:rRNA from 1 species